rnacentral:rRNA from 1 species
GUAGGUGGCAAGCGUUGUCCGGAAUUAUUGGGCGUAAAGCGCGCGCAGGUGGUUCUUUAAGUCUGAUGUGAAAGCCCCCGGGCUCAACCGGGGAGGGUCAUUGGAAAACUGGGGGAACUUGAGUGCAGGAGAGGAAAGUGGAAUUCCACGUGUAGCGGUGAAAUGCGUAGAUAUGUGGAGGAACACCAGUGGCGAAGGCGACUUUCUGGCCUGUAACUGACACUGAGGCGCGAAAGCGUGGGGAGCAACCAGGAUUAGAUACCCUGGUAGUCCACGCCGUAAACGAUGAGUGCUAAGUGUUGGGGGGGUUUCCGCCCCUCAGUGCUGCAGCUAACGCAUUAAGCACUCCGCCUGGGGAGUACGGUCGCAAAGACUG